UACGUAGGGUCCGAGCGUUGUCCGGAAUUAUUGGGCGUAAAGGGCUCGUAGGCGGUUUGUCACGUCGGGCGUGAAAACUCAGGGCUCAACCCUGAGCGUGCGUUCGAUACGGGCAGACUAGAGGUAUGCAGGGGAGAACGGAAUUCCUGGUGUAGCGGUGGAAUGCGCAGAUAUCAGGAGGAACACCGGUGGCGAAGGCGGUUCUCUGGGCAUUACCUGACGCUGAGGAGCGAAAGCAUGGGGAGCGAGCAGG
rnacentral:rRNA from 1 species